AUAGUAUCGAAAAAGUACCAGGCCUAGCGUCACGCCCCGAUCCUCUGAGCACGUGCCCAUCCCUCCUUGGUCGAUUAAUAGUGAUGUCCCAGGACGCAUCACCGACCUAUUCAUUUAAUAUACGCAUGCAAAAGCAUAUAAAUAAUCCCCAGACAAUAAAACAAUGUGAUAGGAAAAUAUGACUCAAAAUUUUCACAACCCGAAUGAACCUUUUAUAAACAAACUUGUUUAUUUACAACAGCAAGCUAUCUACAAAAUCUAUCGGCUCCACAAAAGGUAAUGGUUCUAUGGCCCACUAGUCGGACACAUUGCCGAUCCUUCGAUCUCCACCUUCCCAGACUCCAGGGCUUUCGGUCCUUUGUGAUUGCCAUUUAGGGACCUGAAAAUGGUUAUUCAAUAACCAGUGAGACAACGUCUCAGCAAGUUCUACCCCCUAAGACCCGAUUAAUAAACCAAUACACUAUGGGCUGCAUAUGCACGCACGGGUCAGAGGACUUACCUUGGCCUCGGAUUCCACCUGCAUAUUAGCACGGUUCAAAUAGGCACCCAAUCAAAUGCUACCGAUCAAAGCAUCAAUCAAUCGACCUAGUCGAUUUACAUGUCAAAUAGACUUUCAUUUGGUCAUUUCAAUCAAUACCGUCCAUUCUUCAAAAUAACCUAUCGGGUUACCGAGCCAGUAUUUUAUACGAUUCAUUCUUCAAAAUGACAUAUAAGUCACCGAGUAUAUUCAUCAUAACGUCCAUUCUACAAAAUGACUUGUUGAGUCACCGAGCCAUUAUGGCAUGCCGUCCAUUCUACAAAAUGACCUAUAGGGUCACCGAGCCGGCAUUACAUGUCAUCCAUUCUACAAAAUGACAUAUAGUGUCACCGAGCCGAUAUUGUAUAACAUGAUACUUCAAAUGUACAAUCAAUUUGCCCUUUUAUUCAUUUCUAACAAAAGUAUACGUGCAUGGGCACACGGUUGACCUUAGCCAAAACAUAAUAUUUUUCCUUUCCAUAACUCCCACAUUUUUUGUAGUCCACUCAAAUCCUUUUGGCAUUAUCAACCGAUGCCCGGUUAUUUUUCAAUUAAUAACCAAAGACUAAUCAAUUAAAGAAUAAUUCUCAAUUUCACAAAUAAUUCAAUUCAACACAAAAUAAAACUCAAUUAAAUAAACGGACUGCACCACGACAAUCAGUAUAAAAUUCCGGUCGUCGACUAUCACUGCCUUAUUUCCAGAAAAUAAAUAAUUAGAUAAAUAAUUUCGAAAAUUAAUAAAUAAAUACUAAAAAUCCAAUUUAGGCCCGUAUUGCCUAAUUGAAGCCCAAUAAGGGUUGGGAAAAAUCCCGAGAUGUAUUCAAUAAAUAGUAGUACUUGCCUACUUGCUAAUUGCACAAUCAAAUUACCUAACAUGCAUCACAAUUAAUUAAUAAUCACUCUAAUCUAACCACCUAAUCCUACUUAAUUAACACUAAUCAACCCUUAAGCAUCAUUAGCUUACUAAGCAAGGAUUAAGGAGCAAAACUCACAUGAUUAAAGAUCCGCUCGGAUCAAAAUGACAAGGCCGCGAUGGGGAACGAUAAACCUCAAAGCGAGACCGCCAAGCGGGGCCAAACCGGGGCCGAAAUCAGCCAC
rnacentral:lncRNA from 1 species